rnacentral:rRNA from 1 species
CAAUAGCGUAUAUUAAAGUUGUUGCGGUUAAAAAGCUCGUAGUUGGAUUUCAGCCGAGGACGACCGGUCCUGCUUCGGUAGGAACCAGGUUUGGCCGAGGCACCUCUUGGUGUACGUGUUGGUGAUUGAUUUCACCUCGCGGACUCCAGGGCUUUUACUUUGAGGAAAUUAGAGUGUUUCAAGCAGGCAUCUGCCUUGAAUACAUUAGCAUGGAAUAAUAGGAUAGGGCUUCGGUCCUAUUUUGUUGGUUUCUGGGACUGAAGUAAUGAUUAAUAGGGAUAGUCGGGGGCAUUCGUACUUAACUGUCAGAGGUGGAAUUCUUAGAUUUGUUAAAGACGAACUACUGCGAAAGCAUUUGCCAAGGAUGUUUUCAUUGA